UCUAUCAACUCUAACCUAACUUACACAUGCAAGUAUCCGCACCCCUGUGAGAAUGCCCCACAGUUUCCUAAAGGAAACAAGGAGCUGGCAUCAGGCACAAUAUAGCCCAAGACGCCUUGCUUAGCCACACCCCCAAGGGUCCUCAGCAGUGAUAAAUAUUAAGCCAUAAGUGAAAACUUGACUUAGUUAAGGUUAGGGCCGGUAAAACUCGUGCCAGCAACCGCGGUUACACGAAAGGCCCAAGAUGACAGACAUCGGCACAAAGCGUGGUUAGGAGCCUUUACAAAGUAAAGUCGAAUGUUUGCAAGGCUGUUAUACGCCCCCGAAAAUAAGAAGCACAACGACGAAAGUGACUUUACAACUUCUGAACCCACGAAAGCUAAGGCACAAACUGGGAUUAGAUACCCCACUAUGCCUAGCCCUAAAUAUUGAUAGCUAAUUCUUCUAUCCGCCCGGGGACUACGAGCGUAAGCUUAAAACCCAAAGGACUUGGCGGUGCUUUAGAUCCACCUAGAGGAGCCUGUUCUAGAACCGAUACCCCCCGUUAAACCUCACCUUUUCUUGUUUAACCCGCCUAUAUACCACCGUCGUCAGCUUAUCCUGUGAAGGCUAACUAAUAAACAAAAUUGGCACACCCCAAAACGUCAGGUCGAGGUGUAGCGUACGAAAAGGGAAGAAAUGGGCUACAUUUUCUAUUUAGAAUAAACGGAUGAUAAACUGAAAACGUAUCUAAAGGAGAAUUUAGUAGUAGGAGGAAU
rnacentral:rRNA from 1 species